rnacentral:rRNA from 1 species
CAGGCGAACGCUGGCGGCGUGCCUAAUACAUGCAAGUCGUACGCUUCUUUUUCCACCGGAGCUUGCUCCACCGGAAAAAGAGGAGUGGCGAACGGGUGAGUAACACGUGGGUAACCUGCCCAUCAGAAGGGGAUAACACUUGGAAACAGGUGCUAAUACCGUAUAACAAUCGAAACCGCAUGGUUUUGAUUUGAAAGGCGCUUUCGGGUGUCGCUGAUGGAUGGACCCGCGGUGCAUUAGCUAGUUGGUGAGGUAACGGCUCACCAAGGCCACGAUGCAUAGCCGACCUGAGAGGGUGAUCGGCCACAUUGGGACUGAGACACGGCCCAAACUCCUACGGGAGGCAGCAGUAGGGAAUCUUCGGCAAUGGACGAAAGUCUGACCGAGCAACGCCGCGUGAGUGAAGAAGGUUUUCGGAUCGUAAAACUCUGUUGUUAGAGAAGAACAAGGAUGAGAGUAACUGUUCAUCCCUUGACGGUAUCUAACCAGAAAGCCACGGCUAACUACGUGCCAGCAGCCGCGGUAAUACGUAGGUGGCAAGCGUUGUCCGGAUUUAUUGGGCGUAAAGCGAGCGCAGGCGGUUUCUUAAGUCUGAUGUGAAAGCCCCCGGCUCAACCGGGGAGGGUCAUUGGAAACUGGGAGACUUGAGUGCAGAAGAGGAGAGUGGAAUUCCAUGUGUAGCGGUGAAAUGCGUAGAUAUAUGGAGGAACACCAGUGGCGAAGGCGGCUCUCUGGUCUGUAACUGACGCUGAAGGCUCGA